AGGCUUAGAAAUACCGUCAGAUAAACACCUGGUUGAGCAGAUGCUGGCAAUCAAGUUGCAGACAGAGAAAGUUAAAAAAGAAACAAAAAUUGUUAUGCUGGCUGAGCUAUGCAAGUUUGAUUUAAAUGUUGCCCGGAGCCAGAAGAAGACUAGAGUUCUUGGCCUCAUAAUUAUCAUGAAAAUGGUAAUUUGAAUUCUUGAAAGAAAGGAACACAUUUGUGUAUGUGCUCCCGAUGAAAAGAAAUAAGGUACUCUGUCCCAUUACAUACGGGGAUGGGCAUUUUUUCAUGGAUCUUGUUGAAAAUCGGGCUCAUUGUCUCUUGGAAUCCCGAAUAUCCCAAUAAAGUCAAUAGAUAUUAGAUAAACUCAUAUUAUGGAGAUUUCACUAUCUCAUAGAGAGCUAGCCUUGAUGUACAAUGUAAAUGCACCAACCUCUCUGGAGAUGGAAACAUAAAUGAACACUAAUGAGUGCACGAGGAUUUUCUUUGAUUCGUCGUUUUCACAAUUUUCAUUAGUUCAAUAAAAGAUCUCAAUUAAUUUAUCAAUCUAGAGAACGCUAAUGCAUCAUUAUAGAUGGAAAAAACUAACUACGCUAAUGCAUUAUUAAAGAUGGAAAAAACUGCAUUAUUAAAGAUGGAAAAAACUAACUUAAUAGCACGAGAACUCUAUAGCCUUUUAUUUUUAUGGUCUAAAAUCUUUGAUAAAUAAAUAACUGAAGACCAAUAAUAAUCGAAUUAAUAACAAAGACAAUAAUUGACAUAUUGGAAGAUUCAAUAGUUGGUUAAGUCUUCUCCAAACAUAGCUUCAAGUUCAAGAAUAUCCACUACCACCUCCAUGAUAAUUAUGAGUUCAAAAAUUCUCCCUAUCUUCUGGCUCAGGGCAUAGUUUAAAUCAACCUUGAGGUGCUCGACCAUAACAAUGCUUUUUGUUUCUUCUUAUAACUUUCUCUAUACGCUUCUUGAUUGCCAACAUCUGCUCAACCAUGUGUCUAUUUGGAGGUAUUGCCGAUCCUGAGUUAUUGAUUUUAUACAUAAGUAUUCGUUCUGUUUUUUCUCUCUAUCAAAUAUUGUGCUUCUUUUUAGAGUUUUUCUAAUGCCUCAAAGAUAUUUGAUUUGCCCUUGGCAUGAUCGCGUUGAUGAUCCUCUAUUUGUGGAAAAAUUUGACAAUUAUUUCUUCAAUAUUUGUGAAGCAUAGGAACAUGGUUUUCCACUUGGUGUAAACAUCAUACAUAACUCCAACAUUUGCUCUAGUCCAAGUUGAAAGUUUUUCUGCAUCCUUGAACUGUGUUUUCUUUCAACUAGAGCUGGAGCAAAUAUUGGAGUUAUAAUGUUUACACCAAGUGGAAAAUCAUGUUUCUAUGAUUCCAAAAAAUAUUAAAGAAACAAUUAACAACUUUUUCAAAACGAAACUAGAGGAUCGUCAACGCGAUCGCUCUGAAGGCAAAUCAAAUGCAUUAGAAGAUCUCCAAAAAGAAGCGCAACCAUUGGUAGAGAGAGAUGAACAACGAAUAGUGAUGUAUAAGAUUAUGCACCUAGGCUUAGAAAUACCGUCAGAUAAACACCUGAUUGAGCAGAUGCAGGCAAUCAAGUUGAAGAUAGAGAAAGUUAAAAAAGAAACAAAAAGUGUUAUGUUGGCUAAGUUAUGCAUGUUUGAUUUAAAUGUUGUCCGGAGCCAGAAGAGGACGAGAGUUCUUGGCCUGAUAAUUAUCAUGGAAAUGGUAAUUUGAGUUCUUGAAAGAAAGGAACACAUUUGUGUAUGUGCUUCCGAUGAAAAGAAAUAAGGUACUCUAUCCCAUUACAUACGUGGAUGGGGAUUUUUUCGUGGAUCUUGUUGAAAAAUCGGGCUUAAUGUCUCUUUGAAUCCUGAAUAUCCCAAUAAAGUCAAUAGAUAUUAGAUAAACUCAUAUAUGGAGAUUUUACUAUCUCAUAAGAGCUAGCCUUGAUGUAAAAUGUAAAUGCACCAACCUUUUCGGGAUGGAAACAUAAAAGAACACUAAUGAGUGCACGAGG
rnacentral:lncRNA from 1 species